rnacentral:rRNA from 1 species
AAAUUGAAGAGUUUGAUCAUGGCUCAGAUUGAACGCUGGCGGCAGGCCUAACACAUGCAAGUCGAGCGGUAGCACAGAGAGCUUGCUCUCGGGUGACGAGCGGCGGACGGGUGAGUAAUGUCUGGGAAACUGCCUGAUGGAGGGGGAUAACUACUGGAAACGGUAGCUAAUACCGCAUAAUGUCGCAAGACCAAAGUGGGGGACCUUCGGGCCUCAUGCCAUCAGAUGUGCCCAGAUGGGAUUAGCUAGUAGGUGGGGUAAUGGCUCACCUAGGCGACGAUCCCUAGCUGGUCUGAGAGGAUGACCAGCCACACUGGAACUGAGACACGGUCCAGACUCCUACGGGAGGCAGCAGUGGGGAAUAUUGCACAAUGGGCGCAAGCCUGAUGCAGCCAUGCCGCGUGUAUGAAGAAGGCCUUCGGGUUGUAAAGUACUUUCAGCGAGGAGGAAGGCGUUAAGGUUAAUAACCUUAGCGAUUGACGUUACUCGCAGAAGAAGCACCGGCUAACUCCGUGCCAGCAGCCGCGGUAAUACGGAGGGUGCAAGCGUUAAUCGGAAUUACUGGGCGUAAAGCGCACGCAGGCGGUCUGUUAAGUCAGAUGUGAAAUCCCCGGGCUCAACCUGGGAACUGCAUUUGAAACUGGCAGGCUUGAGUCUUGUAGAGGGGGGUAGAAUUCCAGGUGUAGCGGUGAAAUGCGUAGAGAUCUGGAGGAAUACCGGUGGCGAAGGCGGCCCCCUGGACAAAGACUGACGCUCAGGUGCGAAAGCGUGGGGAGCAAACAGGAUUAGAUACCCUGGUAGUCCACGCUGUAAACGAUGUCGACUUGGAGGUUGUUCCCUUGAGGAGUGGCUUCCGGAGCUAACGCGUUAAGUCGACCGCCUGGGGAGUACGGCCGCAAGGUUAAAACUCAAAUGAAUUGACGGGGGCCCGCACAAGCGGUGGAGCAUGUGGUUUAAUUCGAUGCAACGCGAAGAACCUUACCUACUCUUGACAUCCAGAGAACUUAGCAGAGAUGCUUUGGUGCCUUCGGGAACUCUGAGACAGGUGCUGCAUGGCUGUCGUCAGCUCGUGUUGUGAAAUGUUGGGUUAAGUCCCGCAACGAGCGCAACCCUUAUCCUUUGUUGCCAGCGGUUCGGCCGGGAACUCAAAGGAGACUGCCAGUGAUAAACUGGAGGAAGGUGGGGAUGACGUCAAGUCAUCAUGGCCCUUACGAGUAGGGCUACACACGUGCUACAAUGGCAUAUACAAAGAGAAGCGACCUCGCGAGAGCAAGCGGACCUCAUAAAGUAUGUCGUAGUCCGGAUUGGAGUCUGCAACUCGACUCCAUGAAGUCGGAAUCGCUAGUAAUCGUAGAUCAGAAUGCUACGGUGAAUACGUUCCCGGGCCUUGUACACACCGCCCGUCACACCAUGGGAGUGGGUUGCAAAAGAAGUAGGUAGCUUAACCUUCGGGAGGGCGCUUACCACUUUGUGAUUCAUGACUGGGGUGAAGUCGUAACAAGGUAACCGUAGGGGAACCUGCGGUUGGAUCACCUCCUUA